UACAUGAGUAGCAAACGUUAAUCAUGAUAGUUGGGUGUAAAAAAUAUUUAGACGGAUAAUAUUUUAUGGUAAUAGAAUCUACCUAAUCAUAAAAAUUAAUAAAAAUAAUAAAAAUUACCAUGUUAAUAACAUAUUAAAGAUAAAAUUUCUUAAUAUUUUAAUAACGUUAAUUGAUGAAAAUAGUGUAAUAUUAUUAUUUUAUGUUUAUAUAUGAAAGUAUAGGAUGUGAAAAGGAUUAGUGACCCUUGUAAACUAUACUGUAAAAUAUAGGUAUUAACAAUUGGACAUUGUAAAGUUAACGCGCAAAUACCUUACCUGGGGAGUACAACUGCAAGGUUUAAACUUAAAAAAAUUGGCGGGACCUAAUUUAAUGGUGGAGCAUGUGAUUUAAUUCGGUAAUCCUCGCAAAAUCUUACUAAUAUUAUAAUUUUAUCUUGUAAUAUUUAACAUAUAUUAUAUUAUAAAAUAACGAGUACUGCAUGGCUGUCGUCAGUUCGAAUUGUGAAACGUAAAAUUAAGUUUUAAUAGCGAACGCAACCCUAAAUACAUACAAUGUAAUUGUUUAAAUAAAUAUUUAAAUAUAUAGGAUGAGGGCAAGUCUUUACGAUCUCUAAAUAUUAGGCUAUCCAUUUGUUACAAUGAAAAAAACAAAAAUUUUUUUAUGUUUAAACAAAAAAAAAAUUUAAAAAUUUUCGUAGUUCGAAUUAUUUAUUGAAACUUAUAAAUAUGAAGUAGGAAUCAUUAGUAGUCGUAAAAUAAUACGUUACGGUGAAUAUACACAUUAGGUUUGCACACACCGCCCAUCACGCUCGAAAAAUUUUUUGAAUUAAAAUUAAAUUAUAAUGAAUAUACUUUAUUAUUUUAAUUUAGAUUUAAAUAGUAAUUGGAGUGAAG
rnacentral:rRNA from 1 species